GGUUCGAAGGUUUUUGAAUCCUACGUAUAAUAAACUGCGCAUUGCAGAUAACCCGAGAAAUAAUUGAUGGAAAACAACAUGAAACAGAUUGAAUGAACUGUAAUCCUUGGGAGAUUGUUGUUCUGAUUAUUGGAGUCCUUGAUGGAAUGAUUCCCUUUCUACUCUGGAACCUCAAGAUCAUGUCGGCUUGCCGUACGAUGGUAGAAUUAUUGGCCGGAAAAUUACAGAAGGCUGUCAUUCUCGGCCGAGAAUCAAGUUUUGUCUAUGGGUUCUGGAAAAGUUCACAUCUCG